rnacentral:rRNA from 1 species
UACAGAGGUGGCUAGCGUUGUUCGGAAUUACUGGGCGUAAAGGGCGCGUAGGCGGCUUGGUCAGUCCCGUGUGAAAUCCCUCGGCUCAACUGAGGAACUGCACGGGAAACUGCCUGGCUUGAGUUCGGGAGAGGGAAGCGGAAUUCCGGGGUGUAGCGGUGAAAUGCGUAGAUAUCCGGAGGAACACCGGUGGCGAAAGCGGCGCGCUGGACCUCUUCUGACGCUGAGGCGCGAAAGCGUGGGGGAGCAAACGGG